rnacentral:tRNA from 1 species
GGCGGCAUAGCUCAGUUGGUAGAGCAACGGAAUCAUAAUCCGUUUGUCCAUGGUUCGAGUCCGUGUGCCGCUA